AAAAAAGGAUACUCUUAGGGAAUUUCCUUCAUCCUUUGGAUUGCCUUCCUUUACAGUGGUUUGGGAAAAGCCGCUAUAUUUUCAUGGUGAAAAGUGUGCGGUUCGAUCAACAAAAACGCACGCAGGGGUGUCCGAUUCCGUACGACGGGGCUUCGCAAACAAUCUCCUCCCCUCAUAACGUGAUAAUCACGGCUUUUCCUCAUGAAAAGCAACCGUCGGUGAGAAAUGUAUCAGAAGUGAUUAAAAUAGCUCACGGCACUAACAUGGCUUCCUCCAUCACAAACGAGCAAGCGCGGCUGUUGUGUGCGCGCCUCCCCCCGCUCUGUCCGGAUGGUUCAGUCCAUAUUGUAAGUAGCAAUUCUAGGUCAGGUUGACUUGCCGCCGUCGAGCACCACUGACUGACUGCUGGAGAUCAAUGUGAGGGGACGGUGCUCCGAAACUCCCGCAAUGAUUUACCAGAUCAGAUGCAGGGUGAAAGUUGUAGCACUGGAGAUCGUUUCCGAAACACACAAGCAUUAUGUUCGAGCAGCACACCCUCUCAGUGAGGGAACAGGCUAAAAAUAUCCCGCACACUUACAAGAAAGCUUUUUCCUUUUUGGAGCAUGUCCCCUUUUCAUUGAAUGGAAAAUAGCAGCUCUGCUAAGCAUCAUAAGAAGAAAGGAAUAAGACAUUGCGGUUCGGACCAACAUGAAGGUUCCUGACUAAGGGAUGGCUGAGGAUCCAAGCUGUGGGCACAGAAGUUGUGUAUCCAGGAACAGAGAAUCAUUACCGUAAUUUUAGUGCUAUUCUGUCAUCAUUGUUUCCUUGAGCGUGACACCUCCUCAUGUUCUGCCCCGGGUUGUUCUGGAGGGUUUUUCCCUGCA